rnacentral:rRNA from 1 species
GCACGCUGGCGGCGUGCUAACACAUGCAAGUCGAGCGAUGAAAUCCCUUCGGGGAUGGAUUAGCGGCGGACGGGUGAGUAACACGUGGGCAACCUGCCUCAAAGAGGGGAAUAGCCUCCCGAAAGGGAGAUUAAUACCGCAUAAAAUUAUGGAAUCGCAUGGUUCUAUAAUCAAAGGAGCAAUCCGCUUUGAGAUGGGCCCGCGGCGCAUUAGCUAGUUGGUAAGGUAAAGGCUCACCAAGGCGACGAUGCGUAGCCGACCUGAGAGGGUGAUCGGCCACAUUGGAACUGAGACACGGUCCAGACUCCUACGGGAGGCAGCAGUGGGGAAUAUUGCGCAAUGGGGGAAACCCUGUCGCAGCAACGCCGCGUGAGUGAUGAAGGCCUUAGGGUUGUAAAGCUCUGUUAUCUGGGACGAUAAUGACGGUACCAGAGGAGGAAGCCACGGCUAACUACGUGCCAGCAGCCGCGGUAAUACGUAGGUGGCGAGCGUUGUCCGGAUUUACUGGGCGUAAAGAGUGCGUAGGCGGAUGUUUAAGUGAGAUGUGAAAUACCCGAGCUCAACUUGGGUGCUGCAUUUCAAACUGGGCAUCUAGAGUGCAGGAGAGGAAAGCGGAAUUCCUAGUGUAGCGGUGAAAUGCGUAGAGAUUAGGAAGAACACCAGUGGCGAAGGCGGCUUUCUGGACUGUAACUGACGCUGAGGCACGAAAGCGUGGGGAGCAAACAGGAUUAGAUACCCUGGUAGUCCACGCCGUAAACGAUGGGUACUAG